rnacentral:rRNA from 1 species
GACGAACGCUGGCGGCGUGCUUAACACAUGCAAGUCGAACGGAAAGGCCCCUUUGGGGGUACUCGAGUGGCGAACGGGUGAGUAACAAGUGAGUAAGCUACCCUUGAUUGCGGGAUAACUUCAGGAAACUGGGGCUAAUACCGGAUAGGAAGCCUUGCUGGAUGGUGGGGGGUGGAAAGCUUCGGGCGUUUUGGAGGGACUCGCGGCCUAUCAGCUUGUUGGUGGGGUAGUGGCUUACCAAGGCUUUGAUUGGUAGCCGGCCUGAGAGGGGGACCGGCCAAAUUGGGACUUAGAAACGGCCCCGGAUCCCACGGGGGGCCGGCAUGGGGAAUAUUGCCCCAUGGGGCGGAACCCGAUGCAAGCACGCCCCCUGCAGGAUGACCGCCUUCCGGUUUGAAACCCCUUUCAGCCGGGGCGAAGCUUGUGGUGACGGUACCUGCAGAAGAAGCACCGGCUAACUACGUG